rnacentral:rRNA from 1 species
CCUACGGGCGGCAGUGGGGAAUAUUGGACAAUGGGCGAAAGCCUGAUCCAGCCAUGCCGCGUGUGUGAAGAAGGCCUUCGGGUUGUAAAGCACUUUCAGUGGGGAAGAAAGCCUUGGGGCUAAUACCCUCGAGGAAGGACAUCACCCACAGAAGAAGCACCGGCUAACUCCGUGCCAGCAGCCGCGGUAAUACGGAGGGUGCGAGCGUUAAUCGGAAUUACUGGGCGUAAAGCGCGCGUAGGCGGUCUGAUAAGCCGGUUGUGAAAGCCCCGGGCUCAACCUGGGAACGGCAUCCGGAACUGUCAGGCUAGAGUGCAGGAGAGGAAGGUAGAAUUCCCGGUGUAGCGGUGAAAUGCGUAGAGAUCGGGAGGAAUACCAGUGGCGAAGGCGGCCUUCUGGACUGACACUGACGCUGAGGUGCGAAAGCGUGGGUAGCAAACAGGAUUAGAUACCCUGGUAGUC